rnacentral:lncRNA from 1 species
ACAGGUUUCCUCCGCCGAGCAGGCCUCCUCCUCCUCAAGCUUUCUCCCCCGAGCAGGGCCUCCUCCUCCACGAGCAUCCUUCCCCGAGCACUAAGUUGGGCUGCCUCCUGGUUCCCUCACCCGAGCAGCGGACCUUCCUGUACGGCCCCUCUCCCGAGAAGCUCCACCUCCUCUACAUCCUCCCCAAGGUGCAGCGCCGCCUCCUUGCUCACCGAGAGCACUUGGCUCAUGAGAUUUCAAUCUUUGCAAACUUUUGUUCCUUUUUUCUUCUGAGCAGUAACUAGAACGACUUCAGAAAGUGUUUGAGUUUAUAUGUCACUACAGUUCUGAAGAUAACGACUAGCUUUGUCAUCUGAUAGCCCAAGUUUUGCUUAUGGUGAAGAGAUCUUCCAUUGCAGCAAAUGGAUGCUCCAACUACAUAAUAAAUCAGUGAAUCCCAGUAGGUGUACUACAUGCAAGCUUCCGGAAAUUAGGUUUCAAGGUCGUGCUGCAAAUAUAGCUAGAGAACUUAUUUCUGUCUAUUUUUUCUGCACAUGUAGACUGAAAGUGAAGUAACGCUUCUACAGUUUAAUAGUUUUAAUUAACUAGUGAAUGUGUUAUUUUUAUGAAAAUAGAUAUAUGGGGUUUGAUCUGGAAUUUUCUUCUGUAAUUUUCUAUUGCCAGUUUGCCACUGCUCCCAGUCAUGUGAUUCAGGAAUUUAAUUAUCAGUAGUUGUCUAUCAUAGUAGAAAUCCCUUCAAGUGUUGCAACCUUUAUAAUUGAUUUGAAAAACAUUUGCCUAAUAAUUUACUCCCUCCGUCCCAUAAUGUAAGACAUAUUUCGACACUACACUAGUGUUAAAAAAUGUCUUACAUUAUGGGACGGAGGGAGUAUUUUUCUAGAGUAAAAUGAGAGCAAUUGGGUUUUGUACUGAAAUAAUAUUCCCUAAUUUUCAUUUGAUGCUUUCACUGAAAUAAUAUUUUGGAUUGUUUCUUUUGUGAUCAGUGUGCAUCUUGUUUGUCCUCUCCACCAAGCAGUGUCGACUACUCCAUACAAGCACAUAAGCUUAUGCUCUUAUGAAGUUAUGAUUAUAUAUUUACCAAUGACUAUUAUGGUUGAUAACUUUAAAGUCUUUGCUUCUAUAUAUGCAGCUGAGAAUGACUUAUAAGUUCAUGGCAAAAGCAGCAACAUGAGUACGCAACCACAAGCAAGCUGAGGGGGUAAUAAUCUUGGUAGUCAAGUCUUAGAUUCAGUAUUUUGCUUUUUGGAUACAUGAACAUUGAAACUUAUUUAGCAUUUCAUUUCUUAUAUGCUUCAUGCAAAUAAAACUGCAGUAAACAUAUGAGCCGAGAUUUUGCUCGGCAUGUGUAUGUAUGCAUGCCCUAAAUUUGCUUAGCAUUUUUAUGCAUACAACUAUUGGAAGCUUUUACAUGUCCUGGAACUGACCUUUUGCAUGCCAUGUGUUUUCUGAAGCUGAGUCUUUUGUUAUUGGCUAGUACUUGAAACAGAGUCGCAGGCCUCCUGCCAUAUAACCAUUUAUGAAGUGCAUACGUGAUGCCUUAUCUUGUAUUCCUACACAUAGUCCAGUAUUUUUUUUCAUGUGUAAAAAGUGGUUGAUCUGGCAUUACACUGUUAAGUAUUUUGUACACAUCAGGAAUCUUGUUGUAGAUACACACUGAGCUGAAAAUGUUGCUAGCAGAAAUAGGUUUUCUGUUAGCUACGCAUCUGGUUUAAAACAUGGUAUGACUACUUGCUUUGGAAUAGUAACGCCUUGAUAUUAUCUUAUCCUAUCUCAUGUAUAUUUUAGUUAUUUCUAGACAAAGCUUUAGGAACCGAGUUCACUACAACUCGAAGUCUUGUGCAUGGAGGAGAAUUUAGAUAUUUGCGCAUUCUGUACUAGUCAAAAGGUAUGUGUAGAUAUUCUGCUCAUUCUAGUUCAUGCUGCUACUUUAUUAAGGUCUUCUUUUAUGAGCCUCUACCUUGUGCAAAUAAUAUGAUUAUUUAGCAGCCUGGUUUCAUAGCUUUGAAUCUCAUGUGAAUAAACUAUAUGUCUAGGUGUUUGCUGUUCUUUGCUUAACUAGAUAUCGAAGUAUAGACAACAAGCUCAUGUACAAGAUGGCAAUUAUGAUGGUUAUUUAGUUUAUUUCAUUGAUUCUCAGCAUAUUAAUUGAUUGUAACGUUCUACCUUUAUUUAAUAAGAAGAUGUAAAAGAAACAACAAGUAAUCUCCUUUUUUUGUGCUACAAUAUACAUAGUUUACCAAGCUUAUUAACUUAUAGCAGAUCUACCAUCUUCUCCUUUCAGGUUGGCAUCACGGUUGGAAGAUCUCUGUGCUACUCUCUACACGAUGUUUCUUCUACAUGAUAGCACUUGACGUCUACAUGAUAGCACUUGAAGUCUACAUGAUGUUUCUUGUAUUCAUAGUUCAAACCAUUUGUUUAGCUUAGUUUGAACAAAAACUAUUAUUGUCUUGCAUGUAAAUAAUGUUUACUAAUGUAGCUGGAUGCUACUGAAUGCAUGUACGAAAGUCAAAAUACUAAAGUGUUAGUCAUUAAGUGUUUGAGAACUGCUGUUGAAUCUUGAGUGAAUUCCUGUAUGAAUAGAAAUCAAAAGAAAUAUAAAUGCUACCAAAUUCCUGUAUGAAUAGAAAUCGAAAGCAACAUAUACACUACCAGGAUCAGGAAAAUUGUCGGGG